rnacentral:misc_RNA from 1 species
UUGAAGUUGUACUUGAAAAUUACUUGAAAAUGUAUUCAACUGUUACAGAUCUUCCGAGUUGUAUAUGCACAUCCGUUGUUUUCAGACAGUUGUUCUUUUUUAAGUUAGUUCAACUUUAAAGGCUGUGAACAUACAAUACAUCUUUGUGUAUAUAUAUAGAUAUACAUUGUACAUGUGUAUUUUAUUUAUUUUUGUUUAUUAGAUUUUGCCUAGACAAGCGAUUGUUGGUAUGUUUAAUCAGAGAUGUGUAGACUCGGCUAAACAAACACUCUGCCAAGUCUGUAGUGUUAUUAUAUGCCACUGUAUUUUAUUUUUUGAUAAAUAAAACAAAAAUAUACAAGU